GGAAGUGAGGAAGGGGCCUUGGACUAUGGAAGAGGAUCUGAUUCUGAUCAAUUACAUCGCGAAUCAUGGGGAAGGUGUCUGGAAUUCCCUUGCUAAAUCUGCAGGUAAUUGAACACACACACAAACACGCUCUAUUGGUUUUUAGUUACAAGAGCUAGGUAAUUGAGUUUAUGUUUGAUUACCGAUAAGAAUUGUGGGAAUGGAAUAGGAUUGAAGCGUACCGGGAAGAGCUGCAGGCUCCGGUGGCUGAACUACCUGCGUCCUGAUGUGAGGAGGGGGAAUAUCACGCCGGAAGAACAGCUGUUGAUCAUGGAACUUCAUGCUAAGUGGGGAAACAGGUACGUACAUGCAUGCAGAUUCAAUCAUAUUAUUGAAUUUAUGCCUAUUUGAAUAUUUCUGAUACUUCGAAUAUUUCUUUUUCAAUUGUUGAGUAAAGGAGCUACUACAUAUAGGUUUCUAUUUUCUUCGAUUCUUGAAUCUUAAAUCUCGUAUCAUAUUCAUCAUGCACCUUAUUUCGCUUCAAUCCAUUCGUAUUUUAUACCAAAUUUCCCUACUUUGCAUUCAUGUUUUCGAAUAGAUCUCACGGCCAGAUAUCUGGAUUUCAGAAAUUGUUCAGUUAAGUUAUAAAUCUCAAUUUCUUGGCUACGUACGUACAAAAACCAGUAUGCAAUAUGCAGAAGAGAAAUAUUAUGGUUUUGUGUUUUGUUUAAUCGCGAAAAAAAUGAAUAUCAGUCUAAAUCUGCCAGUAGUUUUCCAUAUGCAUGAUGCAUGUUCUAAACGCUUGUCCGCCAUCUUACUUGUUGUCGAUGAGCUUUAAGCGGCAACACCUGUCAAUCAUCAAAUACAUCUGCCUUCUUAAUCAUUAGAAUCAUCACUUGCUUCAUCAACAACCUACGACCCAUCUAGCUUAGCUUGUCACCACUCUUUUUCCUUCCCUUCCCAAAAAUCUUUCCUCCUUUUUUCUUUCCAUAUUAACAAAAUAAAAAUCUCUGUACGUAAAAAUUUCUUCUGAAACUCAAUAUAUUCAUGUUACUAGCUCGUUAUGAUGUUUGCAAGGACUUUAUUGUUAAACAACCAGUUCUCGUGAAAUCUCAGAGUGUUGGGAGAAAGACUUAUCAGGAUCAUAUUGUAUUCUAAUAUUUGAUAUUGUAUAUGCAAGACUUAAUUUUAAAUAAAUAAAUGAUGGGAGAAAGCAAUAUAGAUAUAUACUGCUAGUGAAAGAUGAGUUUAGAACGCGGCAUAGCUAGCUAGGUAGCCCCAGGAAGCGUACGCCAAUGGAAGUUUCCAUUUCAAGGUGUAGCCAUUUCAAUGGCCAUACUGUAAAGCCCUUGCCCUUAGUUAAAAUAGCCCCUAUCCAAGUCAAUUUGAUGAUUUACUUGAUCCUGACUAGUGCCCUCAAUGUUUUGGCUCUUCAAGACAUUGUGGCCCUCCCUACUUAGUCUUUCAUCCCCAUUAAUUCCUCAAUCCCCCAGGCCCCCUUUCCUCAUUACCCAUACUAAUCUAUGGUGCUCCUUUUAUCAAUAACCUUAUCUACCUAGAAUCCUUUUAAUCCGUCUUCUGUACUUAUAAGUUAUAACCCUAAAGUAGCUAAACCUCGCGAGGACUCUACGUGCAAUUAUUCACUAUCCCUUCCGGUACAAGAAUAAGUACAUGUGAAAUAUGUGUCCGAAGAUAUGAUAGAUUUUUGUACAUUGUCUAACAUGGCAAGAUCAUGAAUGUAGCAUUAGAAAACCAAACCUUGUCUCCACCGCGAUGAAUACACUGAUCCAUUCUGCAAAAUGCACGAUUCUAUUGAGAUUUUCAGAGCACGAGCUGUCUGUCGAAUGAGAUUGAGUUUCGCAUAAUGCAGCUUAGAGCCUGUUCCUUUAAAUAACAAGCACAACAUAUGAAUUAGGCUGAGCUCAUUUCAGGACCGUGGAACAUGAGCUUAUUUCUCUUGAUCCACUUAAAAGAAACAUGUAACAUGCUUCAAUUUCAACAUAUGUUGUAUUGUAUUUACUCUGUUUUUACAUUUUGUAACUAAUAGUGGGCCGUAACCUAAUUUUCAGGUAUUUUCUUUACCAUACCUUUCUGUGUCGGGUCGAAU
rnacentral:lncRNA from 1 species